AUAUUGAUGUAGGAGCCUCUCCU
rnacentral:piRNA from 1 species